rnacentral:rRNA from 1 species
UACAGAGGGGGCAAGCGUUGUUCGGAAUUACUGGGCGUAAAGGGCGCGUAGGCGGCCUUCUAAGUCGAACGUGAAAUCCCUCGGCUUAACCGGGGAACUGCGUCUGAUACUGGAUGGCUUGAGUUCGGGAGAGGGAUGCGGAAUUCCAGGUGUAGCGGUGAAAUGCGUAGAUAUCUGGAGGAACACCGGUGGCGAAGGCGGCAUCCUGGACCGAUACUGACGCUGAUGAGCGAAAGCCAGGGGAGCAAACGGG